AUACGAAGGGGGCUAGCGUUGUUCGAAAUCACUGGGCGUAAAGCGCACGUAGGUGGAUCAAUCAGUUGAGGGUGAAAUCCCGGGGCUCAACCUCGGAACUGCCUUCAAUACUGUUGGUCUUGAGUCCGAGAGAGGUGAGUGGAAUUCCUAGUGUAGAGGUGAAAUUCGUAGAUAUUAGGAAGAACACCAGUGGCGAAGGCGGCUCACUGGCUCGGUACUGACGCUGAGGUGCGAAAGCGUGGGUAGCAAACAGGAUUAGAAACCCUAGUAGUCC
rnacentral:rRNA from 1 species